rnacentral:rRNA from 1 species
UACGUAGGGUGCAAGCGUUGUCCGGAAUUAUUGGGCGUAAAGAGCUCGUAGGCGGCUUGUCGCGUCGACUGUGAAAACUUGGGGCUUAACCCUGAGCUUGCGGUCGAUACGGGCAUCACUGGAGUUCGGCAGGGGAGACUGGAAUUCCUGGUGUAGCGGUGAAAUGCGCAGAUAUCAGGAGGAACACCGGUGGCGAAGGCGGGUCUCUGGGCCGAUACUGACGCUGAGGAGCGAAAGCGUGGGGAGCGAACAGG